AACGCACAUUGCGCCCUUCGGUAUUCCGUUGGGCAUGCCUGUUCGAGCGUCAUUUAAACCUUCAAGCUUUGCUUGGUGUUGGGCGGCUGUUCUGCCUAUAGGCACGAACUCGCCUCAAAACUAUUGGCAGUUUGUAGAUUGGAUUCUGUGUGCAGCACAUUGUGCAAUGACUCCAGCCUACUCUCUUCCAUCAAGUCUUUCUAUUGUUUGACCUCGGAUCAGGUAGGGAUACCCGCUGAACUUAA
rnacentral:misc_RNA from 1 species